rnacentral:lncRNA from 1 species
AACCUCAUCGACUUAUCCUCUCUUUAAUCCACCCUCCUGUAAAUAAAAGUUGUUUCCAUUCUACUUGCUUAGCACACAGUAGGUCCCUUCUGUGUCCUAUAUUAGUGCUCUCUCUGUUCCUUCUUAGAGUAUUCAGAAGCAGGAUUUGAUAGGUCCAUGUUUAUACUUCCCAGAAGGUCAUUUAUAACACAGCAGAACACAAUACAACACACACAGAGACACACACAGACACUCACAGAGAUACACACAUACACACAUGAACACAGAAAAACACAGAUACACACAUACAUGCAUGAAUACACAAAUACCCACAUGCAUAGACACAUACAAACAUAAUACAAACAUACAUACACACACAUACACACAUGCACGUAUACAUGCACACACACAUACAAACACAUGCACACACAUACAUAACUCACACAGACACACACACCACUUACCAUAUACCUGUCUUGAUUAAAAUGAUUUAUAAAAGUCAGUGUUUCUGCAUAAGUCUUCAUUGUUCUACCUGUCUUACACUUAUAUUUAUAUUAUAUUAUAUAUUGCAUUAUAUAAUAUAAUUAUUGUAUUGCAUUAUUAUAUGUUGUAUUAUAUUAUAGCUAUUUUAUAAUAUAUAUUCUACGAUCCUCUUUCUUUUUCCUGUAAGUUUCUUUAAUUGAAUGAUAAGCUAAAAAAUUAUAGAAUGUCUUAAAAAGGUAACCAUUUUAUUUCAGAAGAAUAUUGUCUAGAUAACAUGUGACAACAGUUAAAAGCUUAAUAAAUAAUGUUUCUUGCUACACUUCUGAGUAGAUUUUAAAUUUUCCUGCACUGUAUUUUAGUCUAUUCAACCCUUUCCAAAUUCUUCCCAGAUCCACCCCUAUCUCCCUUCUCACCCACUUUCAAUUUUCUCUUUAAAAAAUUAUAAUAGAAUCAUAUUUUCCCCUCUUAUUUUUUUCCCAGUUGCUCCCAGCUGUCUUCCCUAAAACACUUUCCAUGUCUCCCCACUCUUAAGUUGUUAGUCUCUUUCUCUUUGGUGAUUAUUGUUACACUUACAUGUGUGUGUGCGCAAGUAUCUAUAACUAUAACCAGCUUAGUCCAUUUUUCUUGUUUGUGUUUAUAUGAUUUUGAGGUCGGUGCACUGCACAAGCAUCCUGGGAGCACAUACAUGUUGGUGUGGGGCCUACUGUGGGUUGUGGUCAGCCUACCAUGGACAACGCACACCUUUAAAGAUAUUAUUUCUGAAUUUGUUUCUGAACUCUAGACUAUUUUGAUAACAAAGUUCAAAUAACGUUCAUAAAUGAAUGAAGGAAAAAUCUACUAAAAAGGCAAAGCAACUACAUAGAAGAACGAAACAAAGUUUUUUCUUCUUCUUUUUUUUCUUCAAGUAGUCUGGCCUCUUAGAAUAUGGGUGAUCAGGUUGCAAAUUUGCAGAUGUCAGCGAGAAUCUCAACACCCAAAGAGUGAUUGCACUGGGUGGGUAGAGUGAUUGUACUGGGUGGGUAGCUUUAAUGGUAGAACUCUUAUCUAGCUUAUAUGACGCCUUUGGCCCCAUCGCCAACAAGGGGAUGGAGAUGGGAGGUGCAGAUUAUGGAUAUGUCUUGUAAGUGACACAAAACUUAUUUCUCUUGCUUUCCUGCACUCUUCCUUCAGAUACUCGUUACAUUAGCUUUCCUUUCUUCUAAUGAUUAUACAUUUAAAACAUACUCAUCUUAGCUGAACCCACCCUAUAGUAUCUGUUGAUAAAAUGGAAGAAUGAAAUAUUAGUUUUAUCUUGAAAAAAAGAUAAACUUUCACUCAAGUUUAAAAUAAUGGAACUUUUAAAUAACAUUUUAAUACACAUCAGUCAUUGUUCCCCAAAAUUUAUGUAUUUAUUACUUAUUUAUGAAUUAUCCAAUGGACAAAAAACCAGCAAACCUCAAAUGAGUCUGUAUGCAAAGACCAGUUUUGGAGGGCAAAACAACUAGGCUGCAUAGUUAUGUUCAUGUUGCCGAUGUAUAGUCAACACACCUACACACACUCAAAGUAUUAGUAACCAACCCCUCUGUGAGAAAAAUCUGUGUUCCAGGUAACUCAGAAACAUCCAUGAAGUGCUUGCUCUCCUUGCAAUUUAAUUCAGCUGAAUGGAGAGCAAUGUAACAUCCCACAAUACAUUCAUGUAAUGAAGUACUCCAGGCUAGGUGACAUAUGUAGCAGACAGUUAUUACAACUCUGGAGGCCAAGAUCCAGAAAGAGAGCCUGACCCAUAGGGUUUAUGAAUACAGUUCGUUUUGUGUCUUGUAGACAGCUGCAUCUCCACUAUAUGCCAUCGAGGUUCUCCUCUACACAGUCAAGGAGAGAGAGAUUAAGAAAUUAAUCCUGUGGGAGUAAGAGCCUACCUGGUGGUUUUUACUUAACAUUAAUUACAUGCUUAAGUAACUACAACCAACUCCCAAGUACAGCCACAUGGGGGCGUGGGAGAGCUAAGGCAUCAACCAGUAGAAUUUGAAGUCAUAGUUGAACACAUGGUACAUUUUGACCUUGAAGAAGAAUUUAGCUCUCCAAUUAGAAUCUUAAGUAACAACACUAUAUUAAGUUAACGUAUUUGACCAUGACUUUAUUAUUUCAUUGAAUAAAUGUGUAAAUUGAAUUUCAUUUUAUCCCAUAUAUUCUCACACUAUUUAUUUACUUUGAUCAAGAAUGAAACAGACUCCAAUCAGUGCAAUUGUCUCUACUCAGUCAAAAGCAAUGAAGUCUUAAACAUAGAUGUUCCGACAAAUGUAUCAUAGUGGAGAAAGUAUCUCUGGAGGUCACACUAUAGUCAAGGAAAAUCAGUUUGUUUCAUUUACACACAGGACAGAUGAGGAGAGGAUGUUCAGUACAGAUGAAUAAAAUCUAUCUUCUUUUUAUAUGCACAUCAUCAAUAUCAGCAUGUUCAGAUAUUGCAACCUUCCUGAUAAUGGCUUUCUCCAGUCACAACUGAAUCCCCUAUUUAAUGGUUUCAUUAUUUUUC